rnacentral:antisense_RNA from 2 species
CUUUUUGGCGGCUCGGACGGGAGGACGCAAGUCCUGCCGGUUUCUGCAAAGGUUGCCCGGUCUUCCAACCCGUUCGAGCUGCCGCCAUC